GCUAUCUUAGCUCAGUAGGUAGAGCGCAGCCAUGGUAAGGCUGAGGUCGCGGGUUCAAUUCCCGCAGAUAGCUCCA
rnacentral:tRNA from 1 species